GGUGAACGCUGGCGGGGGGCCUAACCCAUGCAAGUCGAACGGCAGCGCAGUAAGAGCUUGCUCUUACGGGUGGCGAGUGGCGGACGGGUGAGGAAUACAUCGGAAUCUACUUUUUCGUGGGGGAUAACGUAGGGAAACUUACGCUAAUACCGCAUACGACCUACGGGUGAAAGCAGGGGAUCUUCGGACCUUGCGCGGUUUAAUUCGCCGAUGUCGGCUUAGCUAGUUGGCGGGGUAAAGGCCCACCAAGUCGACGAUCCGUGGCUGGUCGGAGAGGAUGAUAGGCGACCUUGGAACUGAGACGGGGUCAAGAGUACUGAGGGAGGCAGCAGUGGGGAAUAUUGGACAGUGGGGGCAAGCAUGAUCCAGCGAUACCGAGUCGGUGACGAAGGCGUUCGGGUUGUAAAGACCUUUUGCUGGGAAAGAAAAGCAGCAGGCUAAUACCACGCUGUUCUGACGGUAACCAAAGAAUAAGCACCGGCUAACUUCGUG
rnacentral:rRNA from 1 species